rnacentral:piRNA from 1 species
UCCAUUCCGCACAUUCCCCCGCGACAAC